rnacentral:rRNA from 1 species
CCUACGGGUGGCAGCAGUAGGGAAUCUUCCACAAUGGGCGAAAGCCUGAUGGAGCAACGCCGCGUGAGUGAAGAAGGUCUUCGGAGCGUAAAACCCUGUUGUUAGAGAAGAAAGUUCGUGCGAGUAACUGUUCACGUUUCGACUGUAUCUAUCCAGACCGCCCCGGCUAACUACGUGCCAUCAGCCGCGGUAAUACGUAGGGGGCUAGCGUUCUCCGGAUUUAUUGGGCGUAAAGGGUACGCAGGCGGUCUUUUAAGUCUGAUGUGAAAGCCGUCGGCUUAACCGGAGUAGUGCAUUGGAAACUGGGAGACUGGAGUGCAGAAGAGGAGAGUGGAAUUCCAUGUGUAGCGGUGAAAUGCGUAGAUAUAUGGAAGAACACCAGUGGCGAAAGCGGCUUACUGGGCUGUAACUGACGCUGAGGUUCGAAAGCGUGGGUAGCAAACAGGAUUAGAUACCCGAGUAGUC